GCAUUCGUGCAACUAUGCAACAAAUUGUUGCAAAUGUGGAACCUGCUUAUGCAGUUGUAUGCAUCUGAUCAUCUACAUGGCAUUUUAACAGAAAACAGAGGUUCCAUCGAUCGCUAUGUGGAAUAUAAAAAAGAGUUCCAGAUUUCAUUUUGGUUUGCAUCAUCAUAAAUUUACCAUCACUUUAAUUGUGGCAAAGUCAAACAGUUUAAAAGCUAAAGGACUGAACAUAGGACCUUUUAAUGCAGUUCAUGUGUCUUAUACAAAAUCCAAAAAAUUUCAGAAGGGAAAAAUGUAGUUGAUGUAACAUGUUGGUAAGACCAAAAUCACCAGAUCCAACGAAUCGAAGCCAGAGUGAUAAAUUAGUACGACAGAACGAUCUAGAUUAGUCACAUGCAUUUGCAAAUUGUUUGCCACAGGAUUCGUAUCCAUAACUUAUAUGUUUAUGAAGGACAUUCAUGCUGUUUCUUACUUAAGAUGAAGUACUAUUUAACAUAGGAUUUGAUGUGACCAUGUAACCAAAGGCCCAUUCAAGAAUAUUGGAAGCAAAUAACAGUGGUUUAGACUCUGGCAACUGAACUAAACUAAACCACUUACACUUGUACCAUCACAAAGUUACAAAGAAACCACAGUUAAGAUACCAGUACGAUUAUCUACUUGAACAUGAAAGAAAAACAAAAUGUAAAGAAUGGUACUCUCAACUCAACUGCAAAUUCAUGUGUACGAUUCAUCACAUAAUAGCUUACACAAUCUUUCAUGGAAGAAAAAUACUGAACAGUUUGUACCAAGUUUUACUUGAUUGAAUUAGUUGCUAAGGAACAACGUUUACCAGCUGUGGAUCGACUCUUGAGAUUCUUGAUGUCUAAAAUGCAACCAGAAGCACUAUCCAUCUUUUUUCUGACAUCAUGAGAUCCUACAAGCUUGUACUCCCAGCUUCCAUUCUGGUAACCCUCACUGAGGAACAGCUCCAAGUGUCUAGCAUCCAGUACCUGCAUUGUUCCUGCAAGAAGCCAAAACUUGAGAAAUUAGUUGCAGUACAAGAGUUUUGGUUGAUUCUUGUUGCAAGUUUUAUCUCACCAUCACAUGUGCUCUGGUCACAGACAGGGCACCUAACAAGCUGCAAAUCUGAACACAACAUGCCAUUUGGUUGAAUUAGAAAAAGAAUUGUAUGAAUAAUAAUUAAGCAUUGAAGACUUUUCUGGUAGGUUUUCUAGAGAUUACCUGCUAUCCAUAUUCCAGUUUUGAUGUUGUGCAAUACACAAGAUCCACAAGAUUUCAACAUAUUUUGCGUAGUCAUUUCUUUUGGAAGCUUUGUAGGGCGGAUGAGAUUCUCCAUGAGGAAUGCAUCUGACGAGUCGAAGCAAAAUGCACCAAUUCUCAUCCAAUCUGAAAUGCAGGUUACAAAUGAACAAGAGAAUGACGUUUCAAUCUUUUGGAUUUCCUAUUUACCCUUUUAUCUUAUCCAUCAUACAGUAUGUAAGGAACUGGAUCAAUUUUAGUAGUUUUUGGAUCGUCUUUUAUGGUUGUAAUUUCUGCAUACACUUUGUAAUUUAACAUAAUAAAGCAGAAAUGUCAUAUACUUAUUGUCAAAA